rnacentral:rRNA from 1 species
CUGAUUAGCUAGUUCGGCGGGGUAAACGCCCACCAAGGCGACGAUCAGUAGCGGGUCUGAGAGGACGAACCGCCACACUGGGACUGAGACACGGCCCAGACUCCUACGGGAGGCAGCAGUGGGGAAUUUUUGGACAAUGGGGGCAACCCUGAUUCCAGCCAUGUCGCGUGAAGGAUGACUGUCUUAUGGAUUGUAAACUUCUUUUAUACGGGAAUAACAAGAGUCACGUGUGACUCCCUGCAUGUACCGUAUGAAUAAGCAUCGGCUAACUCCGUGCCAGCAGCCGCGGUAAUACGGAGGAUGCGAGCGUUAUCCGGAUUUAUUGGGUUUAAAGGGUGCGUAGGCGGCCUGUUAAGUCAGCGGUGAAAUCUAGGAGCUUAACUCCUAAAUUGCCAUUGAUACUGGCGGGCUUGAGUGUAGAUGAGGUAGGCGGAAUGCGUGGUGUAGCGGUGGAAUGCAUAGAUAUCACGCAGAACUCCGAUUGCGAAGGCAGCUUACUAAGGUACAACUGACGCUGAAGCACGAAAGCGUGGGUAUCAAACAGGAUUAGAUACCCUGGUAGUCCACGCAGUAAACGAUGAUAACUGGGCGUAUGCGAUAUACAGUAUGCUCCUAAGCGAAAGCGUUAAGUUAUCCACCUGGGGAGUACGCCGGCAACGGUGAAACUCAAAGGAAUUGACGGGGGCCCGCACAAGCGGAGGAACAUGUGGUUUAAUUCGAUGAUACGCGAGGAACCUUACCCGGGAUUGAAAUGUAGAUGACCGCUCCUGAAAGGGAGUUUUCCUUCGGGACAUCUAUGUAGGUGCUGCAUGGUUGUCGUCAGCUCGUGCCGUGAGGUGUCGGCUUAAGUGCCAUAACGAGCGCAACCCCUGUCUACGGUUGCCAUCAGGUGAUGCUGGGAACUCCGUAGAGACUGCCGUCGUAAGGCGUGAGGAAGGUGGGGAUGACGUCAAAUCAGCACGGCCCUUACAUCCGGGGCGACACACGUGUUACAAUGGUAAGGACAAAGGGCAGCUACCUGGCGACAGGAUGCGAAUCUCUAAACCUUAUCACAGUUCGGAUCGGAGUCUGCAACUCGACUCCGUGAAGCUGGAUUCGCUAGUAAUCGCGCAUCAGCCAUGGCGCGGUGAAUACGUUCCCGGGCCUUGCACACACCGCCCGUC